UGUUUCGGCAAGGGGGUCAUCCCGACUUACCAACCCGAUGCAAACUGCGAAUACCGGAGAAUGUUAUCACGGGAGACACACGGCGGGUGCUAACGUCCGUCGUGAAGAGGGAAACAACCCAGACCGCCAGCUAAGGUCCCAAAGUCAUGGUUAAGUGGGAAACGAUGUGGGAAGGCCCAGACAGCCAGGAUGUUGGCUUAGAAGCAGCCAUCAUUUAAAGAAAGCGUAAUAGCUCACUGGUCGAGUCGGCCUGCGCGGAAGAUGUAACGGGGCUAAACCAUGCACCGAAGCUGCGGCAGCGACGCUGAUGCGUUGUUGGGUAGGGGAGCGUUCUGUAAGCCUGUGAAGGUGUGCUGUGAGGCAUGCUGGAGGUAUCAGAAGUGCGAAUGCUGACAUAAGUAACGAUAAAGCGGGUGAAAAGCCCGCUCGCCGGAAGACCAAGGGUUCCUGUCCAACGUUAAUCGGGGCAGGGUGAGUCGACCCCUAAGGCGAGGCCGAAAGGCGUAGUCGAUGGGAAACAGGUUAAUAUUCCUGUACUUGGUGUUACUGCGAAGGGGGGACGGAGAAGGCUAUGUUGGCCGGGCGACGGUUGUCCCGGUUUAAGCGUGUAGGCUGGUUUUCCAGGCAAAUCCGGAAAAUCAAGGCUGAGGCGUGAUGACGAGGCACUACGGUGCUGAAGCAACAAAUGCCCUGCUUCCAGGAAAAGCCUCUAAGCAUCAGGUAACAUCAAAUCGUACCCCAAACCGACACAGGUGGUCAGGUAGAGAAUACCAAGGCGCUUGAGAGAACUCGGGUGAAGGAACUAGGCAAAAUGGUGCCGUAACUUCGGGAGAAGGCACGCUGAUAUGUAGGUGAAGUCCCUCGCGGAUGGAGCUGAAAUCAGUCGAAGAUACCAGCUGGCUGCAACUGUUUAUUAAAAACACAGCACUGUGCAAACACGAAAGUGGACGUAUACGGUGUGACGCCUGCCCGGUGCCGGAAGGUUAAUUGAUGGGGUCAGCGCAAGCGAAGCUCUUGAUCGAAGCCCCGGUAAACGGCGGCCGUAACUAUAACGGUCCUAAGGUAGCGAAAUUCCUUGUCGGGUAAGUUCCGACCUGCACGAAUGGCGUAAUGAUGGCCAGGCUGUCUCCACCCGAGACUCAGUGAAAUUGAACUCGCUGUGAAGAUGCAGUGUACCCGCGGCAAGACGGAAAGACCCCGUGAACCUUUACUAUAGCUUGACACUGAACAUUGAGCCUUGAUGUGUAGGAUAGGUGGGAGGCUUAGAAGUGUGGACGCCAGUCUGCAUGGAGCCGACCUUGAAAUACCACCCUUUAAUGUUUGAUGUUCUAACGUUGACCCGUAAUCCGGGUUGCGGACAGUGUCUGGUGGGUAGUUUGACUGGGGCGGUCUCCUCCUAAAGAGUAACGGAGGAGCACGAAGGUUGGCUAAUCCUGGUCGGACAUCAGGAGGUUAGUGCAAUGGCAUAAGCCAGCUUGACUGCGAGCGUGACGGCGCGAGCAGGUGCGAAAGCAGGUCAUAGUGAUCCGGUGGUUCUGAAUGGAAGGGCCAUCGCUCAACGGAUAAAAGGUACUCCGGGGAUAACAGGCUGAUACCGCCCAAGAGUUCAUAUCGACGGCGGUGUUUGGCACCUCGAUGUCGGCUCAUCACAUCCUGGGGCUGAAGUAGGUCCCAAGGGUAUGGCUGUUCGCCAUUUAAAGUGGUACGCGAGCUGGGUUUAGAACGUCGUGAGACAGUUCGGUCCCUAUCUGCCGUGGGCGCUGGAGAACUGAGGGGGGCUGCUCCUAGUACGAGAGGACCGGAGUGGACGCAUCACUGGUGUUCGGGUUGUCAUGCCAAUGGCACUGCCCGGUAGCUAAAUGCGGAAGAGAUAAGUGCUGAAAGCAUCUAAGCACGAAACUUGCC
rnacentral:rRNA from 1 species